CUCUUGACAUCCAGAGAACUUUCCAGAGAUGGAUGGGUGCCUUCGGGAACUCUGAGACAGGUGCUGCAUGGCUGUCGUCAGCUCGUGUUGUGAAAUGUUGGGUUAACGUCCGCAACGAGCGCAACCCCUAUCCUUUGUUGCCAGCGAUUCGGUCGGGAACUCAAAGGAGACUGCCGGUGAUAAACCGGAGGAAGGUGGGGAUGACGUCAAGUCAUCAUGGCCCUUACGAGUAGGGCUACACACGUGCUACAAUGGCGUAUACAAAGAGAAGCGACCUCGCGAGAGCAAGCGGACCUCAUAAAGUACGUCGUAGUCCGGAUUGGAGUCUGCAACUCGACUCCAUGAAGUCGGAAUCGCUAGUAAUCGUAGAUCAGAAUGCUACGGUGAAUACGUUCCCGGGCCUUGUACACACCGCCCGUCACACCAUGGGAGUGGGUUGCAAAAGAAGUAGAUAGCUUAACCUUCGGGAGGGCGUUUACCACUUUGUGAUUCAUGACUGGGGUGAAGUCGUAACAAGGUAAGCGUAGCGAG
rnacentral:rRNA from 1 species